rnacentral:pre_miRNA from 1 species
UCUUAUGGAUAAACAAAAGAAAGUGGUUUCUUGAGAUAGAAUUUACUCCUAGUGAAGAUGCUGUGAA